rnacentral:snRNA from 1 species
AACUUUACGCAGUGACAGUAUCGUAGCCAAUGAGGUUUAUCCGAGGCGCGAUUAUUGCUCAUUAAAAAACAAGACAGCAGGCCCCAAAUGGAGCCACUUAUGCUAAUUAAAGUCCACGUCACCAAACG